rnacentral:lncRNA from 1 species
UUGUUUUCCGUCUCUCUCCUCGCCCCCGCCCCCUAUCUCACUCGGGCCCUCCCAAUCCCCGCCCCUCCGCCUCCAACUUCCGUUCUAUCCUCGGGGGGGCUGGGCCCGUCCGGUUUCCCGGCACCCCCCGCGCGGCCUCGACCUUUCCCGCAGACCUCGGGCCGCCGCCGCCGCGGACUGUGCGCCCGGCCUGCUCAGGUGAGGGCUUGCGGAGGGGGGCCGACCCUAAAUUCGCGCGCCGACCCCCGGCUGGCCGGUAAUGCGGAGCCCGGCCCUUCUGUCGCUUCCGGGGCUCGGUGCUACCUUUCGUGCCCGGCCGGCACCGUUUCCUGUGCCGGGGCAGCGCCCAACGGCCUCAUGGCACAGAUUUCGGGAAGACUCGGGCUGAGAGGUCAGCAGGGACUCUCGGGGUCGCUCAGGUGGGAAGUGACAGCCAGACGAUGGCCCCUCAUCCGGAAGGCCCUUGAUCUCCCCGCACCAGUGCCGGGAUCCUUGGCGUCCUGGACGAGGUCGCCCCCGUCAGAGUCGGGCGUCCGGAUUCGCAGGCGCGGCCGUGUCCGCCCAGCCCGGGAGCCGCUAGUCCGCUGGGCCCCGGCCUCGUUCGUUCCCUUUCCGCCCGUUUCAGUUUAUUUCCCAUGAAGUCUGCUGGCUGUCACCUUGGAGAUGUUCACAAGGAAACAAGUGAAGCAACUUCUGCGGAGGAUACCUGGAAAACAGCGCUUUGGUGUCUAUAGGUUUCUUCCUUUCUUCUUUGUUCUGGGAGGAGCAAUGGAGUGGUUUAUGAUCAAAGUCCGAGUUGGCCAGGAGACCUUCUAUGAUGUUUAUCGAAGAAAAGAAUCAGAGAGACAGUACCAAAGAAGGCUGGAAGAAGAAUCUUGAGAAGCAUGAAUGGUGGAGCCUUACUUUUCAACAAAAUAAGUAGCCAUAACUUUUAAGUCAAAUGUGAAUGUGAACUGUUUUCACUUUGGGUUUCUCUAUCAUGUAAGAAACCUAUUAGUUAGUGCCCUCUUGUGGCCAGAUCAUGGAUCUUCACCCCGUCCAAAACAUCUGUGUGAAGAAGGGUUUUCUGUCUCAGUAUUUUCAUACUUUAAUGUUUGAAAAGGAGUAUAAUGAUUUCUUUAGGAGGGCUUUCAGAGCAGAUUGAAUUAAAUGAAUAUGUUUUAGAUCAUUAAUAAUAAUUUUAAAGUACUGCUUUGUGAUGAAAUUUUAAAUAAAUUAAAUCAUGAACAACUGUGAUACCAGC